rnacentral:misc_RNA from 1 species
AUUAUUCAUCCAAAUCUCCUUUUGGAUGGUUCUGAGCUUUGCUGCGCGUUAGCUAGCUCGAAAUGAAUGGGGCGACGAUAGACCAGUUUAACGUUAUAUUUUAUUCUCGAUAAGCUGGCCUAGGUUAGUAGCCUUUAAACCCAAUUUCAA